rnacentral:rRNA from 1 species
AUUGAACGCUGGCGGCAUGCCUUACACAUGCAAGUCGAACGGCAGCGGACCUUCGGGUGCCGGCGAGUGGCGAACGGGUGAGUAAUAUAUCGGAACGUACCUUUCAGUGGGGGAGUAACGUAGCGAAAGUUACGCUAAUACCGCAUAUCUGUGAGCAGGAAAGCAGGGGAUCGCAAGACCUUGCGCUGAUUGAGCGGCCGAUAUCAGAUUAGCUAGUUGGUGAGGUAAAGGCCCACCAAGGCGACGAUCUGUAGCGGGUCUGAGAGGAUGAUCCGCCACACUGGAACUGAGACACGGUCCAGACUCCUACGGGAGGCAGCAGUGGGGAAUUUUGGACAAUGGGCGCAAGCCUGAUCCAGCCAUGCCGCGUGUGUGAAGAAGGCCUCGGUU